rnacentral:tRNA from 1 species
CGCACUGGUGGCAGGCGCCGCUGCGGCUGGCGUUGCGCGCCGGACUUGCGAUCCGCUGCAAGCUUGCGGUUCGAUCCGCUCUGCGCGA